rnacentral:rRNA from 1 species
GUAGGUGGCAAGCGUUGUCCGGAACUAUUGGGCGUAAAGCGCGCGCAGGCGGUCCUUUAAGUCUGAUGUGAAAGCCCACGGCUCAACCGUGGAGGGUCAUUGGAAACUGGGGGACUUGAGUACAGAAGAGGAAAGCGGAAUUCCAAGUGUAGCGGUGAAAUGCGUAGAGAUUUGGAGGAACACCAGUGGCGAAGGCGGCUUUCUGGUCUGUAACUGACGCUGAGGCGCGAAAGCGUGGGGAGCAAACAGGAUUAGAUACCCUGGUAGUCCACGCCGUAAACGAUGAGUGCUAAGUGUUAGGGGGUUUCCCGCCCCCCUUAGUGCUGCAGCUAACGCAUUAAGCACUCCGCCGUGGGGAGUACGGCCGCAAGGCUG